ACGGUCGAUCGGCUUAGCCGUGGUAGUUUCUCCAGUAUGAUCUCCCUGUGCUUGGUCCCCCGCCCCCAAGACGAUGGGGAACAGAGGGAACGGAUGAAAGGAAGGGCUGAAGGAGGAACCGCGUUGCUAAUACCCAUCGUUACUCUGUGCAGCAGCUGAUGGAGGCGGGUCAGCUCGGGACAAACUGGACAGAGCGUCCCUGUCCCUUCUGCGCGGGCUGCUGGGGACUCCAGGGGCAGAGACAGCUGAUGGGCUCGGGAAAGCAGAUGCCGGUACCAACGUGCAUAACCCAAGAGGAAACACGAGAACGGCUUUCUCUGGACAAGACCCCGACAUUUUGCUGAAUCGACUUUUGGCCCGAGUCAGGGAGCAGCACGAGAAGCGUGGGCACCCCUCUGAGUGCUUCUGGAAAUACUGCGUCUGAAGUGAGGACCACCUACUUGUCAACUCAAAACCAACCGUCUUAGAAAAUUAACAGCAGACACGCUUCAUCUGAAAACAGCCCAGAAGAAACACUAGGCAAAGUCUACCCUGUUCAUUGUCAUUCGGAAAUAAAUCCUCUAUGUUU